AAAGAGAAAGAGAAAUAGAAAUAGAGAUAGAUAACAAAAUAGGAGAGCAGCACUGGGAAUUUAUGGGUCUUCUACCGUACGUACGAUACAAUAUUCCCGUGAGAUAAGAUUAUCGAAUUUUGAGCGAAAUCAAUAAUUUUUUUUAUUUUAUUUUAUUUUAUUUUAUUUUAUUUUAAAGGUUAGUAUAUUUGUGUAAGAGAAAGAAAAACAGAGAGAGAGAGAGUUGGAAUUUUAAUUUCUUUAUUAGCAUCGAUCGUUCUUCUCUCCUGUUUUGUUCAUCCUUUCUUCUUUUUCUUCUUCCAAUUUGCAUAUAUCCUCGUGUCUUCGCGCGCUGCUAAUUAUUAUUAUUAUUAUUAUUAUUGUGUAAUCUUUAUAGAUAGUUGUUUGAUGUAUUUCUUUUUCUCUCUUCUCUUUUCUUUAUUUUUUUUUUUUUUAAUACUUUUUUUUUCUCAUUAAUUUUAAAAGAUUCGAGUCUGAUUUAGUUUCCGAGCACAAGUCGAGAUUUUGUCGAGGUAUGUCAGUUAUGUGUAAUAAUACAUUGAAUUCAAGUGGAAUAAAAAAAAAAAAGAGAAAAAUACGUGUGCCAUGAGAGAAAUUAAAUCGAGAAAUUGUAAGGGCCCAAGUUGACAACGAACAUCCAGUAGUACAAUACGUAAACGUCGACAUUCAAUUCCAAAAUUCAUACGUGAUAAUUAACGUCCCUCUUAUGCGUAUUGUGGAGCUCAUGAAAUCACAUUGGAUUAAUUUUUUUCUUUUUUUUUUUUCUUUUCUUUUUAAUUAGAACGAAUCGACAAAAUAUGUUUGAAAAGAAGGAAGAAAAACAAAACGAAAAAUGAAAUUUUAAAUAUAAAAUAUCGCGAUAGAACAACCAUGCCAUUUUGAUCGAUUUGACAUGAUGGAAUGUAGUCUAAAUAAGGUAGAAAAUGGGUACUACUAGUCCCGUCUUCCUUUUUCCUGCCAUCAAGCCAUCCCUGUACGUUUUCCUCGCAGGAAGUAGCAACGAGAGAGAGAGAGAGAGAAAGAGAGAGAGAAAGAGAGAGAGAGAGUUCUAUCGCGGACGACGAUGACAACAAAGUAACGUUCAAGUCAUAAUAUAAUAAACACAAACAUAAAGGUGCCUCUAUCGUAAUUUGAACGACGAAAAAUGAUCACAGUCGUCCAUGUGACGAAAAUAUUCAUGCGAAUCGACGAUAUCACUGCGAAGAAAGCUAUUUGAUUUUAAAUUCAAAUUCUCGUGUCAUUUUUCGAAGCCCCCAUCAGCAUUGCAUAAUCGAAUAAUAAACAAAAAGAUGACACAGGUGCGUGUUUUUAAAUUGUUCCAUGAAAUGUCACAAAACAAAUGAAACAAUAAAUAAGGAAAAAGUUCAAACGAUCUUGUCGGCUGAGAUUCGACGGUAUUCACUGAGAAAAAAAAAUCAUAUUUCCAAUAUAUAUAUAUAUAUAGUUUACGUGGAGGUUGAAUAAAAAAAAGUAGUCAAGCAAUCGACAAAACUGUGAUCUGUUAAUUUUUUCUUUAUCUAAUCAUUAUUAUGAAAUAUUAAAAUGUUCUAACGGAUUUGUAAUAUUUGCAAUCAUGCAUUAAUGUUAAGAUGCAUUUUAUCAUUAAAAUCAAAUAAUUUUGUUGGUUCUUUCGUCGCUUAUUAUAUAAAUCUGUAAAACCAAUUUACUUCUUAAUAGCUAAGCAAAGCCAAGCCAUUUUCGGAUAAACAGGAUAUUAAUUUAGUCCUAAUUUACGCGAAUCUGUUUUUCCAUCAAAAUAAACAUAUUUAUAUUUUUUAAUAUAUAAACAAGAAAAGAACAAUUUUUAUUAAAGCACAUUUCUAAAGAAAAGACAAAAACAAAAAAUAGAAAAGUUUUCAAAUGUUACUCAAAGGUAUUAGCCCCCCCCCUCCUCAGAAUGUUUUUUGCAUAGUCAUUUAUAAUUUGUUGGUCAAGUUUUGAAAAACCUCAGGGAUCUUAUUUUUCAAUGUAUCAAAGAUUUUUCCUGGUGAGAAUUGAAAGCACAGAUGAGAGAUGUUAACGUAAAGGAAAGAGUAAUAUUAACGUAAUAUUAACGUCAAGUAUAACAAAUAAUCCAUCUUUUCUGCUGAGAUUGGUAAUAAUUAAUUUGGAAGUAAGAAACAAAAAAACAAAAAAAGAGAAGAAGAAACAAAAGGAAUAAUAAUAAUGUAUUAAUGCCAAAAAUUGUGAAGUUAGAAGAGAAGAUAGAUUCGCCGGAAGCCAGCCGUAUAUGUACAAAUUAUGGUGCACAAUAAUCGUUGACGGAUAAAUAGUAUUUUGUUUUAAACUGAUCUCUUCUCUUCGUUUAAUUCAAGUUCUAAUACAAACAAAUUUAAUGAUUAACUUUAUACGAGAGACACGUAUAGCCAUGGUAUUUUAGUGCCUUUCGUGGGCAGAGAAAUGUGCCUUAUUCUAUGUGUCUCGUGAAAGAAUUGCUUACAAGAAAAAACAAAACAAACAAAAAAAAAAAGAACUAGUAUGAACGAGAAAUAAGUGUUCUGUGUUAAUUGAUUCUGUUAUUUUAUAUAUUUUUUACGUUAUUUAAACUGCUUGCUAAAUUGUAAUGUAUUAUAUUGGCAAAUUAUAAAUUAGAUGUACGUGCUAUGAUUAUUUCUAACAUUAUAGUAGAAAUUUUAUAUUGAUUAUAUUAAAUGUGCUAAUUAAAAAUGAAUAAUUAAAACAAGAAAUUGUAUUUAUGAUCGGACCAACUUCUUGAAGUUCUUAAUGAAAGCUUAUACGAAAAAAAGAGAGAGAGAGCGAGAGCGAGAGAGAGAGAGAGAGAGAGAGAGAGAGAGAGAGAAAGAGUAAGAGAGAAAGCUAUUAUUAAAAAAAGAAUGAAAAGAAAAUUCAAUUAAAAUUUUAUUGUGUUUGUUUUCGAAAUAUAACAACGCGUAGAUUCAUUAUUAUUAUUAUUUUUUUUUUGGUUUUCAUUUUAAUACACUAAACACACAACACAGGUAUACACACAUUUACACACGUACAUACUACGUACAAAUAUUAUAAUAAAUUUAGUAUUGUUAUUAUAUUGCUUCUCUCUUAUGUGAGUGCAUCCCAUCGAGGUGGAUUUUGUUAUUAAUCGAUGAUCGAAUUAUUCGUCGUUCAUUCUGUAAUUAAUUCAACAAAGAUUUAUGAAAUUAAUAUCUUAUGUCUAUCGAAAAAUAAACUUUUGUAUAAAAUUUCUUAUAUUUACGUUUUUAUAUAGAAAAAUUGUCGUCAUACGUUUAGAUCGAUAUUUUGCAAGAAGGUUGCACUCAUAUUUUAUACACGUUACAUUUUGUCUUUCGUAUAAGGAAAAAAACAAAACAAAUGAAUAUUAUCCGAACUUAUUAUAAAGUAAUGAAUUAAUUAAGACCUCUUCGUGAAUAAUGAAAUUAUUUUCAAUAAUUUAUUAUUACGGUGACUAUAGUCCAUUAUCAAUGUGUAUCCGUUUAUUUUAAAAUGUCGAUUAUUAUCAAGAAAUUAAUUAGAACAGCUUUAUACUUUUUGCAAUAUCAUACGUUAAAUAUUUUUAUUUUUAUUUAUAUUUGGUAUUUAACUUUUUUUUUCUUUUCUUGUAAAUUAUUUACUGGCGGUUUAUAUUUGAUUUCUCUCUUGUUUGCAUUUUAUCGAUCACUGUACGUUGAUAUAUGUGUGUUAUAAAAUUGGAUACACACAAAUUUUACUUCAUUUUUCGUCUUUGCACCACAUUGUUCAUCCUAAAUGCAAAUUAGACGAGAAGCAAAGUAAUUUCUUAUUACAUUAGGAAAGAAAUAAUAUUAUUUUUAU